UACAGAGGUCCCAAGCGUUGUUCGGAUUCACUGGGCGUAAAGGGUGCGUAGGUGGCCAGGUAAGUUCGGUGUGAAAUCUCGGGGCUUAACUCCGAAACUGCAUUUGAUACUGCGGUGCUUGAGGACUGGAGAGGAGACUGGAAUUCAUGGUGUAGCAGUGAAAUGCGUAGAGAUCAUGAGGAAGACCAGUGGCGAAGGCGGGUCUCUGGACAGUUCCUGACACUGAGGCACGAAGGCCAGGGGAGCAAACGGG
rnacentral:rRNA from 1 species